rnacentral:tRNA from 1 species
UAGACAGAUGCUCGUUGGUUUGGGCGUUUAACUUUUAAUUAAAAGUUUGUAGGAUCAAAGCCUUCCUGUCUAG